AGAAGGUCAUCCCGUCCCCACCCCGCACAAAUGGGAGUCGGGGCAGGGUUGGGGAAAAUUAAUCGGGGUGGGGGAAAAUUGAUCAGGUUCGGGAUAGGGCGGGGCGGGGUGGGUUCGAGAACUUUUGCCAUCCCUAAAUGUUAUAAGGACUUACUAAACUUAGACAAAUUCUAUAAUAUAAAAGAGUCUAAAGAAGAGGCUAGUCAAAAUUUGCAGCUCCAAAUGUUGGGUAUAAAAUGAAACAAAGUUUGUUAAAUAGGUAAAAUAAAAGUGCUAAAAACUUAAAAUUUGUAUGUUAAUGCAAGAAUGGCUAGAAUAAGAGAUAAACAUAUCUGAUAAAAGGUAAGGUAGUACCAACUGAAGAAAAAGUUAAAAGAAGGUUGUUUAAGCUAAUUUAGCCAUGUGCACAAUAAGCCACCAGAUUCACAGUAGGUGGAAUAAAUUUAAGUAGAUGGAAUAAAAAGAACCAUAUAAGACCCCAAAAAGAUGGGAGUUACAAUUCAUGAAGGGAUUUAAUUUCUAAAUAUUUGGAAAAUAUAACCGAUAGAUAGACAGAAUGAAUGACAAGCAUCCAUUUAAGCAACACCAAUUAGUUAGAUCUACAGUUAAGUUAAGAUGAGAUGAGCUUUGUGAGGCCCAAAAGGACCUCACCAUUAAUGUUCUUCAACAUCUAGUUUAAUAAUCAACAACUUAGAGGUAACUAAUUGCAUUAUCUGAGCAAACAAUUACAUCAUGACAACACAUCUGCUGUAUAAUAAUUACAAUGAAAUUGUUCAUACGGAAACAACAUGAUUGUGUAAUUUUAACACAUUUUCAAGACAUCCUAAAAGAUAAACUGGUAGAGAGUUAGAGAUGACAAGACAAGACAUAUAGGGCUGGAGCCUGGAUGAGAAUAUAAUCUGGUAGCAAUUCUUAACAAAGGAUGAAAGCCUCAAUUGGGCAGGUAAAAACUUUUGAUAAGGGACAAGCAAUGUAAUUGGCCUUUGGACAGGCUAGUGAGUCAGUCCAUUUUUUAGAGCCAUAGCAUCAAAUUUAAAUUCCAAUUCAGAUAUGCUCCACUGCUAAAGUGGUUGGGGCUGAACCUACACUUCCUAGUUUAUAUAGCGUUGGCCAAGGGAUCAAAAAGGAUCCAAAACCAAUAACAACUUCUACCAAACCAAGCACAAGAUUCAAAUUGCUGAAGAAAACAGUCUAAAGUCUUAUAAUUUUUCAUCAAUUUAUCAUGCUGGCACAAAGAUGUACUAUCAUUGCAAACUUCAGCUCUGAACAUAUUGAGAAUGCCCAUUUGGCUAAGCCAUAAAUUUUCUAAACUUUAAGUAGCAAGUAGCAACUCAAAAGCGAAACCACAACUCCUAACCCCAAAUCAACUUAUGGCUAAUGGCAAUGAGUAUUUGCCAAAACUAGUGUAAAACGAAGUAAACAAAUGAAAAUGAAUUCCCAAUCAUAUCACCAUCCAUGUGCAAAUAGUUUCUACUCAGCAAUUGAAA
rnacentral:misc_RNA from 1 species